rnacentral:lncRNA from 9 species
AGGUAGGGCCUUGAGGCCAGGAAGCCAGCACCUCCAGGGCUCCCCUGGAGGGCAUCUCCCUAACGGGGAGCUCUAGAGACGGAAGGAGGAUUGGGUGGGGAGGAUGGGGCCAUGGCUUAGGAAGGGCACUAGCGCCUCUGGGCCUUCAUGGCCAACAUCCCAACAAGAGGCAGCGUCCAGGGGGAGUCCCAUUCUGUUUGGCCAUCUGUCAGGAGAGGGAUCCACAUCCCGGUGAGCCGGGGUAGGGGGUUCCCGGGAGGCAGACCUUUCAGAACUAAUGCCAGGAAGGUCCUGGGCAGACAGGGGAGUGGUGGUCCCCUCAUCCUGGAGGCAGGCCGUGUCUCUGCCACCUUUCUGGUGGCAAGUCACUUUCUCUUGGGUCCAAGUGGAAUGGCUCUCUCAGACCCUGGGGUUUUGCAGGAACCUGGGCACCAGAGCCCCUCCCGUGUUAGGGCUGCUGAAGGAGGAACUCAUGAGGCCAAGUCGGUAAAGCCAGAGAGAUUCUUUUUUUUUCUUGUUUUGAGGGCAGCAUGUGGGGCAUAUGGAAACUUCCAGGGGAGGGGUUGAAUCGGAGCUGCCGCUGCCAGCCUACCGCACAGCCACAGCCGUGCCAGAUCCGAGCCGCCUCUGCGACGGACACUACAGCUCACGGCAACCCUGGAUCCUUAACCCACUGAGCGAGGCCAGGGAUCGAACAUGCCUCCUCGUGGACACUAGUUAGAUUCCUAAGCUGCUGAGCCACAAGGGGAACUCCCUGAGAGAUGCAUUCAUGCAUCUGACAGGGAUGGGCUGAGCCCAGGACAGCAUCAGCACCGACCGUGAGGAGAAGCUAGUCUUACAAAGGGUCCUGGUGGGAGUCUGAGAGGAGGGUCUGUGGUGGGACCUUGGGACAAGGACAAGGACAGGCAGGUUACCCAGUGUGGGGAAGGGGUCGGGGGGCGCGUCCCACGACUGAGUGUUUGUGGCGGGGAAAAUGAUAGGGAAGGGAAAAGUUAGCACAAUGAGGAAGGAUGGUUGGGACCUGAGGCUCUCGACCAGGCAAGUGCAGUAACAGGAACCGAGUUAGGGGCCAGUUCAUCUUUACAGGUGGUCAAUCUUUGCAGGCACUUGUUUGCUGUAGACAAUUGUCUCUCUCUGUCCAGCUUCAAACGGCUGCAUUCCCAGGGCGCGGGCUUCCUCCAUUCUCCCGGGCACCCAUCACUGCCACACCAUCAAGAUUCCACCAGCGGCUUCCAAGUGCCAGGGGACCUGCGCCCACCUUUUCUGCCCCCUGGAGCUGGACAGCAGACCUGCUCACGGUCAUGUUCAUCCCUCAACAUCAGGGGACCAGCGACCUGGACCCUGAUUCUACAGGGGCCAGGCGUCUUAGUGGAUGUGGGAAGAGACAGAAGCCAGAGAGACCUGCCCAAGGUGACUAGCCAGCCCCCUCCAGAUGAAGAAGCACAAUCUCGCCAGCAACCCCAGAAACCCACCACCACGCCACGCCUCCCUUCUGGCCUUGAAGAAAAGCAGAAAGUCGCAAACGCUCUUUCCUCCAGGAAGCUUCUCGCAUCCCCAGUAGCAGCCUCCCAGGAUCCCCAUGUUGGGGAAAAGUGACUCUGGCUCGGAUCGGCAGUGUCGGAAAGGGAGACACGCGGACACGGGGAGAUCGAGGCAAGGCUCUUUAUCUCUGCAGAAGGGCGAGAGUGCCCACAAAGCGCGCCAAAGCGGGAAGCCCCCUCCCAUUUAUCCCUAAGGCAGGUGGCAUCCCUGUCCCCUUCCCAUGGGUCGGGUCAGGGCGCACAUUCUUCUCGGCUGGCUCAUUUGAAACAAAUUGUUCCUGGGAGAAGAGGGAGGAGGAGGGGGUCUCAGACGAAGCAGGAAAAAAUGGAGUCAGCAAGGCUUCCUCUGAUGGAAAAGGCAUAUGUUCAUUCUCACACCCAGAACCCGUUUUCUCACCUUUAUCAACCCCGCUGGCGGUGACCCAAGAGACUGUCUCCCGCAGCCCCCGCACGGAGCAGGGACCACCCAUUUUCUUCAGACCUGGUCGGAGGCAAGCGCUCUUGCCCAGGGCAGGGAGGGCAGAGAUUCGGCGGCCCUGGCCGUGCCCAGCACCCCCACUCCAGGGACCAGGAUGGCCCGGUGGGGAGAGAAGUCCUAGAAACUGUUCGGGGGCUGCAGGGAGCCUCAGAACCCAGCUUGGCCCAGACCUGAGGCCUGGUCACUCCAGCAGGUGCAUGGUCCCCCAGGAAGCCUCUCUCAGCCGCAGCCUCACUGAGGUCAGUGACUGGGGAGGCCCAGAGACCUAUCUCCCUCUUGUGCGUCAGCCUCAUCUCCUGGUCCAGGGCCUGCAGCUCCUGUGAGGACCUGGAGCACCUGACCAGCGGGGGAGAGGCGGGGGCCGCCAGUCACCCAGCUGGCCCAAACCUGCACCUGCUAUGGCCCCUUGCUUCACACCCACCAG